GACGAACGCUGGCGGCGUCCCUAAUACAUGCAAGUUGAGCGCUGAAGGUUGGUACUUGUACCAACUGGAUGAGCAGCGAACGGGUGAGUAACGCGUGGGGAAUCUGCCUUUGAGCGGGGGACAACAUUUGGAAACGAAUGCUAAUACCGCAUAAAAACUUUAAACACAAGUUUUAAGUUUGAAAGAUGCAAUUGCAUCACUCAAAGAUGAUCCCGCGUUGUAUUAGCUAGUUGGUGAGGUAAAGGCUCACCAAGGCGAUGAUACAUAGCCGACCUGAGAGGGUGAUCGGCCACAUUGGGACUGAGACACGGCCCAAACUCCUACGGGAGGCAGCAGUAGGGAAUCUUCGGCAAUGGACGAAAGUCUGACCGAGCAAAGCCGCGUGAGUGAAGAAGGUUUUCGGAUCGUAAAACUCUGUUGGUAGAGAAGAACGUUGGUGAGAGUGGAAAGCUCAUCAAGUGACGGUAACUACCCAGAAAGGGACGGCUAACUACGUG
rnacentral:rRNA from 1 species